CCUAGUAGAGGUUUUUAUUUUUUUGCUUUUUGUUGUUUUUUUUUUUUUUUUUUUGUUUUUGUCCUCUACUGCCGUUCAUUUUGGGGUGAUAUGGAGUGUCUAAUAUUGAAUUGACUACAGACCUCCGCUAUUAUGCUUUUGUUCUAGUUCAGCGCAUUGUCAGAUAUGAUUCUUUUUGGCAUUCCAUACCGACAUAUGAUUUCCUGCUUUAAGAAUUUACUGACUGCCGAUUUGCUGACGUGGAGGAGUGGCGAACGUGGGAGAGGCGGUGGCGGUGGUUUGCUGUUUGGUAG
rnacentral:lncRNA from 1 species